rnacentral:rRNA from 1 species
UACGUAGGGUGCAAGCGUUAUCCGGAAUCACUGGGCGUAAAGCGUGCGUAGGUGGGAAUUUAAGUGUGAUGUUAAAUCGUGUGGCUCAACCAUAUCGAUGCAUCGCAUACUGGGAUCCUAGAGGACGGCAGAGGCAAGUGGAAUUAGCAGUGUAGCAGUGAAAUGCGUAGAUAUUGCUAGGAACACCAAUGGCGAAGGCAGCUUGCUGGGCCACUCCUGACACUGAGGUACGAAAGCGUGGGGAGCGAACAGG